GAUGAACGCUGGCGGCGUGCCUAAUACAUGCAAGUCGAACGAGGUGCUUUUGUAGCAAUACGAGAGUAUCCUAGUGGCGAACGGGUGAGUAACGCGUGGAUGACCUGCCCCAAAGUGUGGGAUAACAGUCCGAAAGGAUUGCUAAUACCUCAUGUGGUUAUCGGUUUUAGAAAGCGAUAACUAAAGCAGCAAUGCGCUUUGGGAGGGAUCCGCGUCCCAUCAGCUAGUUGGUGAGGUAACGGCUCACCAAGGCGACGACGGGUAGGGGACCUGAGAGGGUGGCCCCCCACAAUGGAACUGAAACACGGUCCAUACACCUACGGGUGGCAGCAGUAGGGAAUAUUGCUCAAUGGGCGAAAGCCUGAAGCAGCAACGCCGCGUGUGCGAUGAAGGCCUUCGGGUCGUAAGCACUUUCUAAGAGAUGAGAAAGGACAGUAUCUUAGGAAUAAGUCUCGGCUAACUACGUGCCAGCAGCCGCGGUAAU
rnacentral:rRNA from 1 species